rnacentral:tRNA from 1 species
GUCAGGAUGGCCGAGUGGUCUAAGGCGCCAGACUCAAGAUAUAUUCUUGUCUCUAGAUAAGGGGCUAAUGGGUGUUCUGGUCCUCAAUUGAGGGCGUGGGUUCAAAUCCCACUCCUGACA